GGGCAACAGGUCCUACCUGUUCAGAGAGGUGGCCAGCUGUAGCCGGUUCUCAUGCACUGAGUACUGGAUCCUCAGAUUGAAGUGCUGGUGUGAGGAGGAAGCAGAGCGAAAGCACAGGUCCCUACCAAGAGCAGCACUGCCAAGGCAAGCUGACCUGGAGAAGGAACGCCUGGGGAGCCCAGACCAAGAUCUACACCUUCCAGUGCCUGCAGCUCUCAGCGUGAGGUCGAGUGCUAAGAAAAUGUGGAUGCACGGAAAAGCAGGAAGGCAGAGGGCAAAACUGAUAGAUGCAGUGGACAAGAGGGGUGCUACGUGGAUGGCAGUAAGAGACAGGCAUUUGCUGUUUGGAAGGACAAAACCAGGCUGUUAUUCUCGGAAGCUGGAUGGAUGAGUGGGUGCCAGAGGAGAUGGGUGGCCAAAACAGGACCACUGUUAAACCCUGCUGGGAGAAGAGAUCACAAAGGGAUGACUUCUUAGAAGUUUUUUCCCCUACUCCUGGAAGAUAUAUCUCACCUCAUCUCCUAGGACUCUGGAGACCUGAAUGAGGACCCAACUCUGCCCCCAGUUCACGGUGGUCCCUAGCCAAGCCCUCCCUCUCCUGAGCCCCAGGGGCCCCACAUGACUGUACAAUGACCAGAUACAAGUGGCAAGCCCCUCUCACUGGGAAAAGCAAUACCCAUGGGAGAAGUGUGAGGGUAAAGUUGGCACCCCCAAAUCAGCUGGUGGACUCAAGAUUUAUGCUUAAAGCAGAAAUCUAGAGAUGUCAGGGAACACUGUCAUGGAAGGCCUGGCCUCCCAGCCCAAAAGCCCAUCCAGCCGCCUGUCCUAGGAGGCAGCUUCCCCCAGCCAUGAGCCCAAGCUCCUGUCCCCCAGGCCCUGGAACUUACACUAAAGUCCACCUGGACAUGGCUGGCUGUUGUGGUGGGUGUGGAUGCCAAAGCAUAUUUGAUGGUGCCCAUACGGCCCACAGGCAUGGGGUCUGUGAAGCAGAGAUUCUGCUCAGAGAGGUGCCUACUCCAGGGAAGACAGAGAGGCCUUCACCAACCAACUGCUCCCUGAUCCUGUGCCUCUUUGUGACCCAAGACUUCAGCUACAGCAUGGAGGCUCAGGGGCCUGGCCUGGACAUCACACUGCUCUGCAGGGACAGAGCCGCACACUCUCCAAGGGAGUCACAGCACGGACUGAAGCAGAGUGACGGGCUGGAGCAUUGGCUGUCUUACAGAUGAACAAACCAAGGCUCAGAGGAGAGAAGGGACUUUCCAGGCCACAUUGCCAAGGAUAUGAACCAGGUUUUUCUGUCCCAGCUUCUGGGAUAUACUUUUUCCCACACUGGGGAGGCCUGUGGACCCCAAAAUGGUGGAAGUAAAAGGUCCCCUUGGU